UUUACCAGAGUGCCUUUCUCCCUCCAACACUGCAUCCCAGCAAACUGUAUGGCUGCAGUGAGUCCUAAGGCUCCACAAUGACUGGCUUCAACUGGGCCUCCAGAGGAACCAUAACAGACUUUGUGGAAAUAUUCACAACAACCCCUUUACUUCCAGGUUCUGAGAUCAGAAACGGAAGUUUCAAAAUACCGAAAGUUCGUUUAUGUUGAACAUACUGCUUAGGCUAAAAGCAGGAAGUCCAAGAAAGCCUGAUCUCAUGAGAUUUUCAGCCCGAUUUGGAUCCACAUCUGCACUUCUGGAUUUACCACUGAGUCCGACCUCAGCCGCUCUGUGGCUUCUCCCAUUUCACCAAUUCUCCACCUCUAGCAUGGGGUACAGAGUUUUCUGAGGAUGCUAUUAUCUAUGAGGCCUCCCUGCCAGGAGGUUCGGAGGCUCCCAGGACGACCCCCACCCCAACCACGCACAGCCCCCACCAUCCCUGGCACCACCUGAGCUGUCCCCAUGGGAACAGCUAGAGGACUUCUGAAUCCAGCAGAAUCCACAGGGCACUGUGGUUUGGAGUCCUCUGCUCACAGACUGGGGCACAUUCUCCUGAAGCACAAUUUUGAAUCAGCCACACCCAACUGGAACAGUGCAGUGGAGGCCACAGGCUGCCCCACAGGGCCACCCCCUUUUCAGUUUGAGGAGCUCAGGCACACGUGGGUUAUUGUCUCACCUUGUAAACCUGUGCAAAUUGGGUGGAAAGGACAUGAAGCACGACACAUGUUGCAGCCGUGCGGCUUCAUGUCUGCUAUUUCCCCUAGCUGGGCCUCAGUUUCCUCAUCAUAAAAUAGUAAUUGCAAUGAAUACCUUGUGCGUUGGUGUGGGAACCAAGGGGAUGUUUACAAAAUAGCCGCCACAUACAGAGAUGCUAGCUCUUCCUGCCUUCCCCUGAAGUCCAACACAGUUGUUCGGGGGUCGGGGGGGUGAACCCUAGGGACCUAAAUGUCUCGGAAGCAACACCUCUGAGCUCCCAAAGGUCUGCCAGAAUCUGAAAGAACAAGUCCUCACAUUUGCAAUGCCCUUUUUCCAUUUUUGGAGGAAUUUCUUACAUUCAGCAAUCAUUUAAUAAAUGCCAUCUUAUAGCAAAA